rnacentral:rRNA from 1 species
ACGCUGGCGGCGUGNUUAACACAUGCAAGUCGAGCGAUGAAGCACCUUCGGGUGUGAAUUAGCGGCGAACGGUGGGGAACACGUGAGAAAUCUGCCUUCAACUCUGGGAUAACUCCGGGAAACCGGGGCUAAUACCGGAUAUGAGCCUUGAUCGCAUGAUCGGGGCUGGAAAGUUUUUCGGUUGAAGAUGAUCUCGCGGCCUAUCAGCUUGUUGGUGAGGUAAUGGCUCACCAAGGCGACGACGGGUAGCCGGCCUGAGAGGGCGACCGGCCACACUGGGACUGAGACACGGCCCAGACUCCUACGGGAGGCAGCAGUGGGGAAUAUUGGGCAAUGGAGGAAACUCUGACCCAGCGACGCCGCGUGCGGGAUGAAGGCCUUCGGGUUGUAAACCGCUUUCAGCAGGGAAGAAGCGAAAGUGACGGUACCUGCAGAAGAAGCACCGGCUAACUAUGUG